rnacentral:misc_RNA from 1 species
UUUCACAUUUUUAGGGACUUAGACCACAACAAAAGACACGGGUUGAGGGGCAUCUGGCAGGCACACACCAGCGGGGGCCGGUGGCCGAGAGGACGGCCUGCCAAAGCAACGGGAUAUAACAAGCAGAGGGUGGAGGUUCUCCCUGAAGCAGGGCAGAGCUCGGUAAUGAUCCUUCCGCAGGUUCACCUACGGAAA